AUUGAACGCUGGCGGCAGGCCUAACACAUGCAAGUCGAACGAGUGGAGGACGGGUGAGUAAUGUCUGGGAAACUGCCUGAUGGAGGGGGAUAACUACUGGAAAAGGUAGCUAAUACCGCAUACCAUCGGAUGUGCCCAGAUGGGAUUAGCUAGUAGGUUGGGUAAAGGCUAACCUAGGCGACGAUCCGUAACUGGUCUGAGAGGAUGAUCAGUCCCACUGGAACUUAUACCCGGUCCAGCCUCCUACGGUAGGCAGCAGUGGGGAAUAUUUGACAAUGUGCGAAAGCCUGAUCCAGCCAUGCCGCGUGUUUUAAGAAGGUCUUCUGAUUGUAAAGCACUUUAAGUUGGGAGGCGUUACCAACAGAAUAAGCACCGGCUAACUUCGUGCCAGCAGCCGCGGUAAUAC
rnacentral:rRNA from 1 species